AGAGAGAGAGAGAGAGAGAGAGAGAGGGAGAGAGAGGCGUUCCAGAGGUUACAAAUUGCUGAUGUGGACCCUCAGGCUGGGAUGUGGUGUUCCAGAGCCUUGCUUCCUGCCCUGCAUUGAGUCUCUUCUCUUUCAACACAGAAUCUGAACCAGGUCUUUGUAUAUCUAUGAGGCAGGAACCUACCAGUGAGCUCCACCCCCGGCCUCCUCCUAUUUCAUAAAGAUGUAUUUGUUCUCUGUCCUGCCCUCUUGGGGCCAGCUGUAUGUCAUUAGUCCUUGGAAGCAGUUCCAUAAACUAAUUUGUAAUUGGGUGUUUAUGGAUAAGCCUAGCGUAGUAAAUUGCUUCAAUCAAGGUGUAUCUGUCAAAGUCCCAAGAUGAAACAGGUGGCACACUCAAUUAGUAGGACUCAAGGGAGGGCCGGAGUAACACAGUUUCACGAGAGUGUGCACUGCUGUUCAAGGGAACAGAAAAGCUUUGACUCCUGGGAGCUGGGAAAAAGGAGGGAGCCGUGGAGGGGGCACCCACCAGCCCUAGUAGAGCUUUCCAGGAUGAAGUUGGGCAAUACCUCCAUCCAGCCUGACCUCUUCCAGUCUCCACGGGACAUUUCUCUGGUCGGACUCUAGUGGCUUGCGUUGACCUACUCUCUACAGGUCAAUGACUCUGAAGAGCAAGAUGAUUAGAGAGCAGCUCCUACACAAAUACAAGAGACACACAUCCAUGCUGUACUAGUUAGGUUUCUAUUGCUGUGAUAAAUGUCAUAAUCAGGACUGGAGAGAUGGCUCAGCGGUUAAGAGCACUGACUGCUCUUCCAGAGGUCCUGAGUUCAAAUCCCAGCAACCACAUGGUGGCUAUAACCAUCUGUGAUAGGAUCUGAUGCCCUCUUCUGAUCUGUCUGAAGACAGUUGCAGUGUACUCCUAUAAUAAAUAAAUAAAUCUUUUUAAAAAUGUCAUAAUCAAAAAGCAACAUGAGAGAAGAGGUUCACACUUCUACAUCACGACAAAAACAAGACUCAAGGCAGGAAUGUGGAGGUAGGAACUGAAGUAGAGGCCGUGGAGGAAUGAUGUUUACUGGCUUGCUCAGCCUGCUUUCUAAAAGCACCUAGGACCUGCACCUGGGUCCUUCCACAUCAAUCAUAAUCAAGAAAACGCCCCAGGUUUGUAUACAGACUGAUAUGAUGGGGAGGCAUUUUCUCAAGCAAGGUUCCUAUCAAUCCCAAAAAUGGGAGGAGAAAGACUACUGACACCAAUCAGGAUGACCAAAUUAACCAAAGCAAGCAACCGAAUAAAGGUUACAGGUGAGGCAUAGCCCAGUCCUUGAGAAACAGAGGUUGGCAAACAGGAACCUGGUUUGUCUUUGCUGUAAGAUGGCCUUGUGCCUGAGAUGGAGGCCGACUCCAGCUCUUAGUUCCCUCUUCCCAGAUGACGCCAUCUGAGAACUGGGGCAGGGAGACCAGAGCUUUGUCUCCCUGCGGUUCCCGGGGAGAGCUUGAGGUAAUUCCAAGAAAUGCUUCUUCCAUGUAAAUGAUGGUAGCUUCCUUAUCCCCUCCUCAUCCCUCCUCCUCCCAUUUCUUCUUCCUCUUCCUCCUUUUCUGCUGACCUACAUCCCUAGCCUGGCUUAAUAGCUUCCUAACUCUGGUCCCUGUCUUAGUCUUUCACUUUCUUCUGCACUGGUAGAAAAGUGCUUUUUUGGAAGCUUGAGUCUGACCCUUUUGUUUGCCUCUUUGCUUAAAAUCCCCCAACUCUGUGAAGCAUCUCCUCGUUCUGUCUCAGUCACAAAGCCACCCUAAGCUUGGUAUUAAAACAAGACGAGAGGGCUUUGAGCACUUAUCCAACUGUGCUGGGCAGUUUUAAGUCAGCUUGAGACAAGCAAGGGUCACCUGGAAGAGGGAACUUUGAGAAAACGUCUCCUGUGGGCUCAGCCUGUGAGCAGUCUCAAGGAGCCCAAGCUAAUCUCAAACUCACUAUGUAACCGAGGGUAACUUUGAACUCCCAAUCCUUGUGCCUCCAUCUCACAAGUGCUGGCAUUACAGCCUGUGCCACAGUACAAAUUACGGGGCACUGUCAGCACUUCUUUGAAUUGCAGAAGAAAGUAUGUCAAACGGUGCCUGUGUCUUUUUCCUUCUCCUUGGGCAGUGGAGAAUCUGAUGACGCCAGUAAGACGCAUGCUUCACAGAGUGAGGCACAUAUCCUGUUGCCUUCCAGGAACUUGCUGGCUUGCCGCCCUACGCAUACAUUUACAGAAGCCAUCUGCAGAGCUAAGCGUCUUCCAUUUUAAAAGCGUAAAGUGUUCUAGAGACACCGGCUUAUAUUCCACAGUGAACAGCAAUAUGUCUUCUAUGUCAAAUAAAAGGCCAUCUGUGUUCUUGGAAAAAUCUUUUUUUUUCCUUUAUA